UUUUUUUAAAUUAUAGGUUAUUUCCUCUUCAUUCCCUUUGAAAAUUUUCCAAUCCUAGAAAAUUUUGUGAGAAAACUGAACUGACUGAGGUUCAUAUUUGAAAAGGGAGAUGUGAUAGGUCCAGCCUCUGUGAUCAGAAUGAAGCUUAGCGCCAGAGGAGCCUAAGUGGUGCCCUUGUUCCUCUAAGCACCUCUAAGCUUUAUACGGUGAUUUUUCAGGCCUGGUUUAUUAAGGCUGUGAUGUUCAGACCGAGAGCAGGG
rnacentral:lncRNA from 1 species